AAGACAGGCUGUGGGCCCCUGGAUGGCCUCCCAAUAUCCUCUGACACAGUUAACCCUCUGAUGAAGUAGAUUCCUGGGUGAAGGCUCACGACCUCUCCUUCAGCUGGAAUUUCCUGAGCCUCUCACAUCACGUCAGUUCUCUGGCUUCUGCUCUGACAAAGAUAAGGAAAAUGGGUGGUACUUAACCCGUGCACUUCAUAGACCACAUUUGAAGCCAUAUCUGGAUCUGACAGAAGGGGCU